rnacentral:rRNA from 1 species
GCAUAACGCGAAGAACCUUACCAAGGCUUGACAUCCUCUGACAGGCGUGGAAACACGCUUUUCCUUCGGGACAGGGAGACAGGUGGUGCAUGGUUGUCGUCAGCUCGUGUCGUGAGAUGUUCGGUUAAGUCCGGCAACGAGCGCAACCCUUACAAACAGUUGCCAAUAUUAAGUUAGGGACUCUGUUUGGACUGCCGUGGGUUAACACGGAGGAAGGUGGGGAUGACGUCAAAUCAUCAUGCCCCUUACGCCUUGGGCUACACACGUGCUACAAUGGGCGCUACAAAGAGCAGCAGGCCGGCAACGGUGAGCGAAUCUCAAAAAAGCGCUCUCAGUUCAGAUUGUGGGCUGCAACCCGCCCACAUGAAGGAGGAGUUGCUAGUAAUCCCGAAUCAGCAUGUCGGGGUGAAUGCGUUCCCGGGUCUUGUACACACCG